rnacentral:rRNA from 1 species
GUGGAUUAGAUACCCUGGUAGUCCUAGCCGUAAACGGUGCUUGCUUGCUGUAAAAGGAAUCGACCCCUUUUGUGGCGAAGCCAACGCGAUAAGCAAGCCGCCUGGGAAGUACGGUCGCAAGAUUAAAACUCAAAGAAAUUGACGGGGGCCUGCACAAGCGGUGGAGUAUGUGGCUUAAUUCGAUGCAACGCGAAGAACCUUACCUGGCCUUGACAUGCAUCUAGUAGAAGGGUGAAAGCCUGACGAGGUAGCAAUACCAGGAUGCACAGGUGCUGCACGGCUGUCGUCAACU